CCUACGGGUGGCAGCAGUGGGGAAUAUUGGACAAUGGGCGAAAGCCUGAUCCAGCCAUGCCGCGUGUGUGAAGAAGGCCUUCGGGUUGUAAAGCACUUUCAGUGGGGAAGAAAGCCUUGGGGCUAAUACCCUCGAGGAAGGACAUCACCCACAGAAGAAGCACCGGCUAACUCCGUGCCAGCAGCCGCGGUAAUACGGAGGGUGCGAGCGUUAAUCGGAAUUACUGGGCGUAAAGCGCGCGUAGGCGGUCUGAUAAGCCGGUUGUGAAAGCCCCGGGCUCAACCUGGGAACGGCAUCCGGAACUGUCAGGCUAGAGUGCAGGAGAGGAAGGUAGAAUUCCCGGUGUAGCGGUGAAAUGCGGAGAGAUCGGGAGGAAUACCAGUGGCGAAGGCGGCCUUCUGGACUGACACUGACGCUGAGGUGCGAAAGCGUGGGUAGCAAACAGGAUUAGAUACCCUAGUAGUC
rnacentral:rRNA from 1 species